rnacentral:rRNA from 1 species
UACAGAGGUCUCAAGCGUUGUUCGGAUUCAUUGGGCGUAAAGGGUGCGUAGGCGGCGCGGUAAGUCGGGUGUGAAAUCUUGGAGCUUAACUCCGAAACUGCAUUCGAUACUGCCGUGCUUGAGGACUGGAGAGGAGGCUGGAAUUUACGGUGUAGCGGUGAAAUGCGUAGAUAUCGUAAGGAAGACCAGUGGCGAAGGCGGGUCUCUGGACAGUUCCUGACGCUGAGGCACGAAGGCCAGGGGAGCAAACGGG